rnacentral:pre_miRNA from 1 species
UGGACAAAUUAUUUUAUUCGAUUGUAUUCACAGCGUGAAAUAGGGGAUUAUACUAUUUUAAAACGGAAAGUGAAACAAUUAACAUAAUAGACUCCU